GAUGAACGCUGGCGGCGUGCCUAAUACAUGCAAGUCGAGCGAACAGACGAGGCGCUUGCUCCUCUCACGUUAGCGGCGGACGGGUGAGUAACACGUGUAUAACCUCCCUAUAAUACUGGGAUAACUUCGGGAAACCGGAGCUAAUCCCGGAUAAUCUCUUGAACCGCAUUGUUCAAUAGUGAAAGACGGUGUUGCUGUCACUUAUAGAUGCAUCCGCGCCGUAUGGGCUGGUUGGGAAGGUAACGGCUUUCCAAGGCGACGAUGCGUAGACGACCGGAGAGGGUGAUCGGCCGCACGGGAGCUGAGACAGGGUCAAGACGCCUAAGGGAGGCAGCAGUAGGGAAUCGUCCGCAAUGGGCGAAAGCCUGACGGAGCAACGCCGCGUGAGUGAUGAAGGUCUUCGGAUCGUAAAACUCGGUUAUGAGGGAAGAACAAAUGUGUAAGGAAAUAUGCACGGAUUGACGGUAACUAAUAAGAAAGCAACGGCUAACUACGUG
rnacentral:rRNA from 1 species